UAAAAAGUGGCUGUCGACAAACAUUUGGAUUUGACAAAGUGCAGGUCAGCCGAACGAUUUAUUAAGUCUGAUGUCAACCACUAAGUUAUGAAUUCAAGACCAGAACUGACCAGCGAGAUAGAGGAUACUCCGAUUGCUCAUCUGAGCAUGUUCAACGGGGCCGUACAGUUUCGUGGCAGAGUUGAUGUCAAUAGUCAAGAGGCAAUACAGGAGACAAACAUGAACGCCACAGCAGGACGAGGAUACCACUAUCAUGCAGACAUUAUACAUCCCUGAACUCAAAGUAACACGUUUAUCAAUAAAAGAUUCACGAUGGCUCUAUUGGGUUACUGCUUCACCAGAAAGUGUGUUUUUGGUAUCGUUAACAGAUGUUCUAGAUUUCGGUGCCGCAUAGCGUGUGCCAUUUUUCGGCAUUUACUUUAGAUCUAACUAAAAUGGCGUCUAUUCUAUCCUUCCUAUUUUUACCAGGAAUUAUUUAGGGUUGUACUACGAGAAUAAACGCAGACAGAUAAAACAGAUGGUCUAGAUUUCGUUGCCGCAUAGCGUGUGCCAUUUUUCGGCAUUUACUUUAGAUCUAACUAAAAUGGCGUCUACUCUUUCCUUCCUAUUUUUACCCGGAAUUAUUGUGGGAUUGUACUAAGAGAAUAGGCGCAGACAGAUAGAUUUCACACACACAGCUCUGAGAUAAUUGCACUGUCCAAACGGCAAACGUUUGACGCGUCAUCCGUUUGCACUGUGUUUAGAUUGUGUUUGGGCAAAGCCUUAACAUGUCAAAUAGGCUGAUACUUUACUUAUGUUUGCAGAAAGUUGUUUAUAACCGUUCGCCUUAUCAUGGUUGGCAUGAACGACUUGCCGUACGUAUGAGCAGUGGUCAAGGAGUUAGUUCGACAUGAUUCAAAGACCACUCUGUUGAACAGCAGUGCUCAGACGGACUUCACCCUGGCUUGCUACAGCUUACCAAAAUGCACAUGACUCAAGAUCAAUAUAUGUUAAAUAUUCAAGAGUAAACAUUAGAACAAUCAACAACAGUUUCAAAGGUUUAAUCUGACCAAACAAAAACCCUAAUUUUUUUACAUUAAAUGUGUGCGAUACAUUAAACAAUAUUAUUAGCAUCGUGGCAUUGUCUCGGGAUUGCUUACAGUAAUUAUGUAUUUUGUUUUAUUAGUCAUAAGUCAACUGUACGAUCCAUCCCCUAUCUUCACACCGAACACCCUGUACCUCUUACAGUCUAUAUUUAUAUAUGGGGUUAAGAAACAAACAAAUUGACUUGAGUAAGAUUUAAACCAACGACCUCCGGAACAAUCAUCCGGACGCCGUUGGUUCAAACGCCACCCCAAUUUUGUUUUCUGUGUUCAACCCCCAACACUUUUAUAAUGACAUUAUAAAUAAAUAUUUAUUCAUUUAGGUAAUACAUUCAAUAAAUAUUACUCCCACCAUAAUCUGUGCGAUAAUACAAGGCAUGUAUUGCUUAUGAUAACCAUCUAUUUCACAUUACGAUCCCAAACUACCUUCUUUUAAAGUCUAAGUUGUGAUGUGUUCAUGUAAAAAGGGAAAAAAAUAAAAACAUACAUGAUUUUUUAGGUUUUUUCCAACCGCUUGUGUCCUUCCAGUUGUUCAUUUUGUUUAUCGAUACAGUUUCCUCACCAAUAUUUCAACUCACCCCCAAAAUGCGAGUUUCCAUUUCAUGUCUACUUUCUCGUUCAUUAUCCUUUUCGUUUUCGUCCCGUCCAUUCUUUCGCAUUUUAAAAAUAAUAUCGCACUAUACCUUGGUGAGUUAUACUAUUACUAUGAUAAACCCUAAAGACUUGACACUAAAACUGUUUUUGAUUUUGUUUUGUUUAAUGUUACAUUUAAAAGGGAUUUUAUGUAAAACUGCGAUCAGUAGUAAACUCGGCACAUUUCCCCCUUACUCGACGUUGUCUUGAGGGCGCCCUUUUAAACGUACAGAGAACCCUAUCAAUGUUGUUGUUGUUGUUGUUUUUUUGCCAGAAGAUAAUAAUACUGC